AACUUUCAGCAAUGGAUCUCUUGUUUCUGGCAUCGAUGAAGAACGCAGCGAAAUGCGCUAAGUAGUGUGAAUUGCAGAAUUCAGUGAAUCAUCGAAUCUUUGAACGCACAUUGCGCCCCUUGGUAUCCCGGGGGGCAUGCCUGUUCGAGCGUCAUUUCUACCAUUCAAGCUUUGCUUGGUUUUAGGGAUUGUAGCACUCUUAACCUAGAGUUUUUACAUACCUUAAAUGUAGACGGCAGCAAGUAUAAGUUCCGAGCGUAGCAGUAAAACCAUUUCGCUUUUGGAAAUUAUAUUUUGUUAACCGAAAUAAGUAUAUUUACAGUUUGACCUCGGAUCAGGCAGGGAUACCCGCUGAACUUAAGCAUAUCAAUAAGCGGAGGCU
rnacentral:misc_RNA from 1 species